GGGGAGGCUCGGAGUUCUUCUGUGGCCCUCCAUGGUCCCUCCGAGGAAGUGUAAGCCACGGUGCGUGGCCCGAGAUGUCAGGCCCGGGUGGCCCUUCACCGCGGGGCGUCGAAGCCGAGGCACUGAGGCAUGGCGUAGGUGGUGGGGGACGUCGCGGGGGUGUCCAUUCCCCCUCUUUUCGUUUUUGUUUCCAGCAAAAACCAAAAUCCAGUCUAUCACCUGUGUAGUCGAUGACCCAUGAGGCUCUUUUAGUAGCAGCAAUGGAGGUGUCCCUGCUGCACGUAGGCAGCAUCUGCACUGCCACGGAAGAGAGCACUGCAUGCCUAACUUCUUUUAAACUUUGAUUAGCAAAUGCAGACCAAAAUUGGGCUCCUCUCUAGUUUUGGCUGGCACAAAAAAGGUUCCUUCACAUUAAUGCAUAUAUCGAAGCCCCCCAUUUUGAUCUUCUAAUGCACACUGGAUUGGUAAUGCAUAGUGAUAUGGAUAAGGCAGAGGAGGAGAGAUGGGAAUAGCUUGGGCUAUUCAAAACAAAACAAAACAAAACAAACAACAACAAAGAAAGCUGUGUUAUUAAUGUAAUGUGGCAGUUGUUUUCCUGCUCAGUUGUUGAAAUAUCCACGUUGAUCAUUUGUUCCAACGGUGGAACCCAGAAAAUCCAUCUAACUUUUUUUUUGUUUUAAUUAUAGUUAAAAAUAGAAAGAUGGGAGAGGCAUCCCUUAAGUGGGCUUGGCAUGGUAUGUGAGGCAGAGCCUGUCAGCGUGAGUCCCAGAGGGACUGCACUGGAACAGCAGCGUCCUUCGUCCCUCAGGAGUGCUGUGUGUAAUGGCUCAGCACUGGUCUGCAAAAGGCAUAGCAGGGAGAAGAAUGGAGAUCUGGGGCAGAAGGCAAAGAGGGAAUGAAACAGCGAAGGAGGGAACCCAGCCAGCUGCUUCAACUGCUUCAUGCAGGUUUAGAUAAUUGGUGUCACUUCCUUCAUAUGGCUGUACAUGGCUUCAGAGAGGUGGUAGCAAAGAGCUUGUGAGUGCAUCCCAACCUGGAAGUGCUUUGCUGUGAGAGCUGUCUGUGCUGUGACUUGGCUCUGACAAAGGGCACAAAACUGGGAACUGCCACUCAUUGCUGAAUCAUGUCCAAAGGGGGCGUCAGAGGCUCCUAAACUUUAAUUUAUUCUGAAAUCAGAGAUAGUGGCAUCAGUAAUGAGAUGGUUAGCUCCACUCCAGCCCUGAUUUGUCUUGAAGCUGUGCCCAGUUAUGCACACAACUCUGAAGCAGAUGUAGCAAUAAACUUCUUGGCCAUUCCUAGCUCCUGCUUUUCUGUAAGUGCUUUGGGGAGACACAACCUGUUUCAGGUGAGACACUAUCUGUGUGUAAAGCCGUGUGUGUAUUUUCUACAUGUAUAUACGUAGAAAUAUAUAUAUAUUUCUUAGCAACGUGAGAAGGGGAGGUGUAGGGCUGUGAAAUACAGUGACCUAAAAAGGUCAUAGCAGGGAAGGACUGUAGUACGCCAGUGCUACUGCUUUGGGCAAACUUCAACUCUUAGUCUCUAGGUAUAGGUGAAAAAUCAUCCAGAAUUAAUGGUGAUGGGAUAAGGACUCCAAGUGGGUAUGUAUUUAUCUAAAUUGACAUAGCUUAACAAAGAGUUGAAAAUAUUUUGUUGAUAGCAGUGCCUAUUUGUGUAAGAAUUCAUGUAUCUAUGCCAGAGUGUAUAGUAUAGCACAGGCUAUCUGUGCAGAGAGUACCAUUUCAAAGAAAAAAUCACACUCUGCUUUCAAUUAAAAAGGAAGAAAGAUAGAAAUAAAGAUAGAAAAAAUACAUUUUACUCUGUUGUAAGUUGCCACAACUCCUUCUUUUUUUUCUUUCUUUCUUCUUCUUUUCUUCUUUUUUUUUUUUUU
rnacentral:lncRNA from 1 species